GUCAGGGUGUUGUCUGUCCCGUGGAAGCCAAGGUUCAGGGUGUGAAGCAGUUCCCACAGCCCUCUACAAAGAAAGAACUGAUGCGCUUCCUGAGAAUGGCGGGGUACUACUGUGCUUUUUGUAAAAACUUUUCGGUAGUAGUGUCCCCCCUGACCAAUCUGCUGAAGGCCAAGGCUGAAUUUCUCUGGUCCACCCAGUGUCAAGAGGCAUUUGAUGCAGUUAAGGCUCUUUUGUGUUUGUCACCCGUGUUGGUAGCACCAAAUUUUGAGAAACCUUUCAAAUUGCAGGUAGACGCCAGUCAAAUCGGUGCUGGGGCUGUGCUUCUCCAGGAAAAUGAUGACCAUAUUGAGUGUCCAGUCAGCUUCUUUUCCCAGAAAUUUAAGAAGUAUCAGAAAUUAUUCUGUAAUUGAAAAGGAGGCUUUAGGUCUCAUUUGGGCUUUACAGCACUUCGAGGUCAAUGUCGGUUCUGGUUUAACCCCUUUAACUGUGUUCACGGACCACAACCCACUUACUUUUCUGAAGUCCUUGCAAAAUCCCAACCAGCGCCUGAUGCGUUGGGCUUUGUUCUUGCAACCAUUCAACCUGGAUAUUAGACACAUUAGGGGUAAGGAUAAUAUUAUUGCUGAUGCUCUGUCUCGUGCUCCUUUAACCUAGUUUGUAUUUUCUCUCUGAACCCUGCGGGCUGUCUGCGCCUUCUUUUCUCUUAAUUUGCUCCCCAGGUACCAGGGCUGCUGAGUUGAGGACGGACAGUCAGCUAGGGGACACGGGGCUACUACUAGGAGCCAGGACUGCACCUCCAUAUUCAACAUGAUGGAGUCUUAAAGGAGAGGAGGCCUGUAGCUCCUCCAUAUUCAACAUGAUGGAGUCUUAAAGGAGAGGAGGCCUGUAGCACCUCCAUAUUCAACAUUAUUCAACAUCAAGGACAACAACCACCCUAACCACUUCCUGUUCACCCCGCUAUCAUCCAGAAGGCGAGGUCAGUACAGGUGCAUCAAAGCUGGGACCGAGAUACUGAAAAACAGCUUCUAUCUCAAGGCCAUCAGACUGUUCAACAGCCAUCGCUAACAUUGAGUGGCUGCUGCCAACAUACAGACUCAAUCUCUAGCCACUUUAAACAAUGCCACUUUAUAUAAUGUUUACAUACCCUACAUUACUCAUCUCAUAUGAAUAUACUGUACUCUAUACCAUCUGCAUCUUGCCUAUGCCGUUCGGCCAUCCCUUAUCCAUAUAUUUAUAUGUACAUAUUCUUAUUCAUUCCUUUACACUUGUAAAGGUAGAUGUUGUGAAAUUGUUAGAUUACUUGUUAGAUGUUACUGCACGGUCGGAACUAGAAGCACAAGCAUUUCGCUACACUCGCAUUAACAUCUGCUAACCAUGUGUAUGUGACCAAUAACAUUUGAUUUGAUUAUUAUGGAGUCUUAAAGGAGGCAGUCUGCUUUCCAAGUCAUCCCAAAGUUGUUCGAUGGGGUUGAGGUUAGGGCUCUGUGCAGGCCAGUCAAGUUCUUCCACACUGAUCUCGACAAACAAUUUCUGUAUGGACCUCGCUUUGUGCAUGGGGGCAUUGUCAUGCUGAAGCAGGAAAGGGCCUUCCCCAAACUGUUGCCACAAAGUUGGAAGCACAGAAUCGUCUGGAAUGUCAUUGUAUGCCGUAACGUUAAGAUUUCUCUUUACUGGAACUAAGGGGGCCCGAACCAUGAAAAACAGCCCCAGACCAUUAUUCCUCCUCCACCAAACUUUACAGUUGGCACUACGCAUUGGGGCAAGUAGCGUUCUCCUGGAUUCCGCCAAAUCCAGAUUCGUCCAUCAGACUGCCAGAUGGUGAAGCGUGAUUCAUCACUCCAGAGAACGCGUUUCCACUUCUCCAGAGUCCAAUGGCGGCGAG
rnacentral:lncRNA from 1 species